rnacentral:rRNA from 1 species
AGUGAACGCUGGCGGUAGGCCUAACACAUGCAAGUCGAACGGCAGCACAGUAAGAGCUUGCUCUUACGGGUGGCGAGUGGCGGACGGGUGAGGAAUACAUCGGAAUCUACUUUUUCGUGGGGGAUAACGUAGGGAAACUUACGCUAAUACCGCAUACGGCCUACGGGUGAAAGCAGGGGAUCUUCGGACCUUGCGCGAUUGAAUGAGCCGAUGUCGGAUUAGCUAGUUGGCGGGGUAAAGGCCCACCAAGGCGACGAUCCGUAGCUGGUCUGAGAGGAUGAUCAGCCACACUGGAACUGAGACACGGUCCAGACUCCUACGGGAGGCAGCAGUGGGGAAUAUUGGACAAUGGGCGCAAGCCUGAUCCAGCCAUACCGCGCGGGUGAAGAAGGCCUUCGGGUUGUAAAGCCCUUUUGUUGGGAAAGAAAAGCAGCAGGUUAAUACCCCGCUGUUCUGACGGUACCCAAAGAAUAAGCACCGGCUAACUUCGUG